AUGGCUUUCCCACACCGGGAACAUGGGGCUGGUGGGAGCCUCUGGACCCCCACGCUGGCUCUUGCCCCCCCCCCCGCUCCCUGCCAGCCCGGGGAACCACAGGGCCGGGCCUGGCAGCGUGUUGGCGCAGGCAGGGCCUGGCGCUGCCAGUCCCAUCUCGCUCCUACCCGAAGGGCUCCCUCGUGUCGGUGGGUGAGCCCCACCCCGGCCCUGGGGGUCCCAGGAGCGUGGGGCCGGGGCUCCCUGCUGCCCCCCCCCCAUCUCCAGGUACCCCCGGACCCUGCCAGCCGAGGGGUGGGGGUCGGCCAGAGCAGGGAUCCCCGUGGCGUGGGAGCCCCCCCAGCCCCCCUGCACCCAGCCUGGCUCCCACCCAGCUCUGCGCACCCAGAACCACCCCGACACCCCCGGCCGUGGGACGGCACCGGGGCUACCGGGGGGGAAGGGGCGUCCGCCCGGUUCCCCCCCCCCCCCCCCCCCCCCCCCCCCCCCNNNNNNNNNNNNNNNNNNNNCCGGCGCUGCCGCCCCCCUCGCUGCCGCACCGAGCCCCCGCCGUGCCCCUGCCCCCCCCCCCAACCCCCCCUCCGCCGCGGGGUCGCGUUGGGCAGCGAUGCCCGGUGGGACCCCUGCCCACCCCGCCGCGCCUCUGCCCGUCCCCGCUGCCACGGACGCCCCGGCCCGACCGUGCCACCCCAACCGGGCACCCCGGCGGCGUCCCCCGCUGCCCGUCAGGCACCCCCGGUCCCGUGUGUGUGUGUGUGUCCCCCCUCCCUCCCAGCGCCGCCCGCUGCCGCAUCGCCCCCCGUCGCAGCGGGCACCCCCGCAGCCUCUCCUCGCCGGUGCCCGCGGCCCCUCCAUCCCCCCUCCCGCCCCGCGGCCGCCGUCCCGGGGGUCCCGCAGCGGCCGCCCCCCCCCCCGCCAGCCCCGACCCCCGGUACCUGCUCCGCAGCCGCGGCCGUGCGCGCCGCCCGCCGGCAGCCGCUCCAGGAGCGCGGCCAGGAGCCGCUCGGGGGGCGCGGGCGCGGCGGGGACGCAGCCGCAGCCGCAGCAGCGGGCGGCGGGCGGCGGCUCGGGGCUCGGCGGCUCCCGGUCCCGGUCGCGGUCCCGGUCGCCGCCCGGGGACGGUUCCUCGGGGGAACGGAGCGGCGCCUCCGGCGGCCGCAGCUCCAACCAGCGGCCCUCGCCCCCCGGCUGCGGCCCCGCCGGCCCCGCCGGCUCUUCGGGAGAGGCGGGUGGGCGCGACAGGCUCUGCCGCCGCGCUCCGGGUCCCGAUCCCUGACCCGGUGCCGGUCCCGGUGCGGCGGAGGGGCGGGCGGGCAGGUGCGAGCCCGGCUUCUUCAGCAACUUCUCCAGCGGCUUCAUGGCCGCCCGGGCGCGGCGGCGGCGGCGGAGGCUCAGGGGGCCAUGGGCGACGGCGGCGGCGGCGGCGGCGGCGGGGCGGCUCCGCUCCGCUCGGGUCGGGCUCGGGCCCCGGCGCCGUUCCCCGCCCGCCCCGCGCCUGCUGCGCGCUGCGCCCCGCCGCGGCCCGCGGAGCCGCCGCCGCCAGCGCCCGCCCCGCCCCGCCCCGCCGCCGCCCCCGGCCCCGCCGCCGGCACCUGCCCGCCGCCCCCCCCUCCCCGGCCCCGUCCACCCGCCCGCCGCACCGGAGCACCGGGACCCGGCCCGGGGAUGCGGUGA
ensembl:lncRNA